rnacentral:rRNA from 1 species
GACGAACGCUGGCGGCGUGCUUAACACAUGCAAGUCGAACGGAAAGGGCCUGCUGUUGUGGGGUGCUCGAGUGGCGAACGGGUGAGUAACACGUGAGUAACCUGCCCUUGACUUUGGGAUAACUUCAGGAAACUGGGGCUAAUACCGGAUAGGAGCUCCUGCGGCAUGGUGGGGGUUGGAAAGUUGGGGCGGUUGGGGAUGGACUCGCGGCUUAUCAGCUUGUUGGAGGGGUAGUGGCUUACCACGGCUUGGACGGGUCGCCGGCCCGAGAGGGUGACCGGCCACAUUGGUACUGAGAUACGGCCCAGACUCGUACGGGAGACAGCAGUGGCGAAUAUUGCACAAUGGGCGGAAGCCUGAUGCGGCAACGCUGCGGGCGGGAUGUCGGCCUUCGCGGUGUAAACCGCCUUCGCUUGUGACGAAGCGUGAAUGACGGUAACGGGUAAAGAAGCACCGGCUAACUACGUG